AUUGAACGCUGGCGGCAGGCUUAACACAUGCAAGUCGAACGAGUGGCGGACGGGUGAGUAAUGCUUGGGAAUCUGGCCUAUGGAGGGGGAUAACGACGGGAAACUGUCGCUAAUACCGCGUACCAUAGGAUGAGCCCAAGUGGGAUUAGGUAGUUGGUGGGGUAAUGGCCUACCAAGCCGACGAUCUCUAGCUGGUCUGAGAGGAUGACCAGCCACACCGGGACUGAGACACGGCCCAGACUCCUACGGGAGGCAGCAGUGGGGAAUUUUGCGCAAUGGGGGAAACCUGAUGCAGCCAUGCCGCGUGAAUGAUGAAGGCCUUCGGGUUGUAAAGUACUUUCGGUAGCGAGGCGUUAAUCACAGAAGAAGCACCGGCUAACUACGUGCCAGCAGCCGCGGUAAUUC
rnacentral:rRNA from 1 species